rnacentral:rRNA from 1 species
GAUGAACGCUGGCGGCGUGCCUAAUACAUGCAAGUCGAGCGAACAGAUAAGGAGCUUGCUCCUUUGACGUUAGCGGCGGACGGGUGAGUAACACGUGGGUAACCUACCUAUAAGACUGGGAUAACUUCGGGAAACCGGAGCUAAUACCGUAUAACAUUUAGAACCGCAUGGUUCUAAAGUGAAAGAUGGUUUUGCUGUCACGUAUAGAUGGACACGCGCCGUAUUAGCUAGUUGGUAAGGUAACGGCUUACCAAGGGGACGAUACGUAGCCGACCUGAGAGGGUGAUCGGCCACACUGGAACGGGGACACGGUCCAGACUCCUACGGGAGGGAGCAGUAGGGAAUCUUCCGCAAUGGGCGAAAGCCUGACGGAGCAACGCCGAGUGAGAGAUGAAGGGUUUCGGCUCGUAAAACUCUGUUAUGAGGGAAGAACCAAUGUGUAAGUAAAUGUGCACGUCUUGACGGUAACUAAUCAGAAAGCCACGGCUAACUACGUG